rnacentral:rRNA from 1 species
AUUGAACGCUGGCGGCAGGCCUAACACAUGCAAGUCGAACGAGUGGCGGACGGGUGAGUAAUGUCUGGGAAACUGCCUGAUGGAGGGGGAUAACUACUGGAAACGGUAGCUAAUACCGCAUACCAUCAGAUGUGCCCAGAUGGGAUUAGCUUGUUGGUGGGGUAACGGCUCACCAAGGCGACGAUCCCUAGCUGGUCUGAGAGGAUGACCAGCCACACUGUGACUUGGACACGGUCCAGACUCCUACGGGAGGCAGCAGUGGGGAAUAUUGGACAGUGGGCGCAAGCCUGAUGCAGCCAUUCCGCGUGUAUGAAGAGGGCCUUCGGGUUGUAAAGGACUUUCAGCGGGGGGGCGUUACCCGCAGAAGAAGCACCGGCUAACUCCGUGCCAGCAGCCGCGGUAAUAC